rnacentral:rRNA from 1 species
UAUUGCUCUUGAACGAGGAAUCCCUAGUAAGCACAAGUCACUAGCUUGUGCUGAUUACGUCCCUGCCCUUUGUACACACCGCCCGUCGCUACUACCGAUUGAAUGGCUUAGUGAGGCCUUCGGAUCGGAGGUGAGGACUAGAAAUAGACCUUACUCUCGAGAAGUUGGUCAAACUUGGUCAUUUAGAGGAAGUAAAAGUCGUAACAAGGUUUCCGUAGGUGAACCUGCGGAAGGAUCAUUACCAAUCUUUAAUGAGCCUGGACUUGUCCAUGGUCUCGCGAAAUUUUGUAUUUAAAACCUACUCUUUUAUAAUUAAAAAAAAAUGUAUCAAUGAUAAAUUAAGAUCACUUUCAACAACGGAUCUCUUGGCUCUCGCAUCGAUGAAGAACGUAGCGAAGUGCGAUAAGUAAUGUGAAUUGCAGAAUUCCGUGAAUCAUCGGAUCUUUGAACGCAAAUUGCACUCUCUUCGGGGAGUAUGCCUGUUUGAGGGUCAGUAUUAAUAAAAAUCGGCGUGUUGCUCUUUCGUGACACUCCGGAGUUGGGUCAUCUUAUAACAGUACCUUUCAAGGUGUUUCUAAGAGGCUUAAAAUUGACAUCUUUUUUGCGCAUUUUAGACGUACAUAAAUUUUUUUAUUCGUUUAUUCUAAUGCCAAAAUCUCUAUUAGAUGCGACCAUAUCGUGUGAUUUCCGUGUCUAUAAAUUUUUUUCAUGAUUUGACCUCAAAUCAGUAGGAACACCCGCUGAACUUUAAGCAUAUCAAUAAGCGGAGGAAAAAGGAAAAUACCAAUGAUUCCCCUUAGUAACUGGCGGAGUUGAAGAGGGACCAGCUCAACUUUAAAUCUGUCGGGGUUUUUUCCUUGAACGAGUGUAAUUUGGAAGAAGCGUUUUCUGCCUGUUGAUCAGGCCAAGUCCUAUAUUGAAUGAGGCAUCCAUGGGAAGGUGAAUAAAUCCGGUCCGGGUUGAUCAUGGGCUCAACGAAUACGCCAUUCAAGAGUCCAAAGUGUCAUGGAUGUGCUACUUAAAAAUGUGAAGUAAAUCUUC